AUUGAACGCCGGCGGCAUGCUUUACACAUGCAAGUCGAACGGCAGCGGGGUAGUGCUUGCACUACUGCCGGCGAGUGGCGAACGGGUGAGUAAUAUAUCGGAACGUACCGAGUAAUGGGGGAUAACCAAUCGAAAGAUUGGCUAAUACCGCAUACGUCCUGAGGGAGAAAGCGGGGGAUCGCAAGACCUCGCGUUAUUCGAGCGGCCGAUAACUGAUUAGCUAGUUGGUGGGGUAAAGGCCUACCAAGGCGACGAUCAGUAGCGGGUCUGAGAGGACGAUCCGCCACACUGGGACUGGGAAACGGCCCAGACUCCUACGGGAGGCAGCAGUGGGGAAUUUUGGACAAUGGGGGCAAACCUGAUCCAGCCAUGCCGCGUGUAUGAAGAAGGCCUUCGGGUUGUAAAGUACUUUUGUUAGGGAAGAAAAGGGAAGUGCUAAUACCACUUUUUGCUGACGGUACCUAAAGAAUAAGCACCGGCUAACUACGUG
rnacentral:rRNA from 1 species